GGUGUAGCUCAGCCGGUAGAGCACCUGGUUGUGGUCCAGGAUGUCGCGGGUUCAAGUCCCGUCAC
rnacentral:tRNA from 1 species